rnacentral:rRNA from 1 species
ACGGAAGGCAGCAGUAGGGAAUAUUGCACAAUGGGGGGAACCCUGAUGCAGCAACGCCACGUGUGGGAAGAAGCAUUUCGGUGUGUAAACCACUGUCGUGAGGGAAUAAUGCUUGGCCUCGGCCAAGUUGAAUGUACCUCGAAAGGAAGCACCGGCAAACUUCGUGCCAGCAGCCGCGGUAAUACGAGGGGUGCAAGCGUUGUUCGGAAUCACUGGGCGUAAAGGGAGCGCAGGCGGAGAUGCAAACAGUCUGUACAAUACCGGGGCCCAACCCCGGACCUGCAGACUGGACUGUUUCUCUUGGAUAGUUCAGGGGCAAGCGGAAUUCCUGGUGUAGCGGUGGAAUGCGUAGAGAUCAGGAAGAACACCGAUGGCGAAGGCAGCUUGCUGGGGACUUAUCGACGCUCAUGCUCGAAAGUGCGGGUAACAAACAGGAUUAGAUACCCUGGUA